AAAACUCCUACCUGAUCUUAUUUGAUAUGAGCAGAAAUUGAUCCAUGUCAUGAGAGCCUGCAUCGAUACCUCGUUUUAUGUUAGGAGACUGUUUGGAUGCUCCAUGAUUUGCAAUGGACUGGGUGUGGUUCCAGUUUCCCACCCAGCCCAAACGCAAGUGGGUUUAGUUCUGCUGAAACUGCACAAACAGUUGCAAUUUCUAGGGACUUCCAAUUGGGUAGUUAGACGUGCAUUCUCUUCUGUUUUCCUUGCUUUGUUUACGGUUUGUAAUUCAUCGUUUCUUAAAACUCACUUAUACACA